AACGAACGCUGGCGGCACGCUUAACACAUGCAAGUCGAACGAACUCUUCGGAGUGAGUGGCAGACGGGUGCGUAACACGUGGGAACCUACCCUUUAGUUCGGAAUAACACAGAGAAAUUUGUGCUAAUACCGGAUACGCCCUUCGGGGGAAAGAUUUAUCGCUUAAGGAUGGGCCCGCGGCUGAUUAGCUAGUUGGUGAGGUAACUGCUUACCAAGGCGACGAUCAGUAGCUGGUUUGAGAGGAUGAUCAGCCACACUGGAACUGAGACACGGUCCAGACUCCUACGGGAGGCAGCAGUGGGGAAUAUUGGACAAUGGGCGAAAGCCUGAUCCAGCGAUGCCGCGUGAGUGAUGAAGGCCCUAGGGUUGUAAAACUCUUUCGAUGGUGAAGAUAAUGACGGUAACCAUUAAAGAAGCCCCGGCUAAUUUCG
rnacentral:rRNA from 1 species